GUUUCGGUAGCUUAUAAUAAAAUAGAGCGUUGGCUUUUUAGUCCAAAGGUGCAGUUAUAUGCUCGAAACA
rnacentral:tRNA from 1 species